CCUCAGAAUGGUUGGAAAUCAUUCAUAGAGUGUAAAGGCAUAAGGGAGCUUGACUGCGAGACCUACAAGUCGAGCAGGGUCGAAAGACGGACUUAGUGAUCCGGUGGUUCCGCAUGGAAGGGCCAUCGCUCAACGGAUAAAAGCUACCCCGGGGAUAACAGGCUUAUCUCCCCCAAGAGUUCACAUCGACGGGGAGGUUUGGCACCUCGAUGUCGGCUCAUCGCAUCCUGGGGCUGUAGUCGGUCCCAAGGGUUGGGCUGUUCGCCCAUUAAAGCGGUACGCGAGCUGGGUUCAGAACGUCGUGAGACAGUUCGGUCCCUAUCCGUCGUGGGCGUAGGAAAUUUGAGAGGAGCUGUCCUUAGUACGAGAGGACCGGGAUGGACAUACCUCUGGUGUACCAGUUGUCGUGCCAACGGCAUAGCUGGGUAGCUAUGUGUGGACGGGAUAAGUGCUGAAAGCAUCUAAGCAUGAAGCCCCCCUCAAGAUGAGAUUUCCCAACUUCGGUUAUAAGAUCCCUCAAAGAUGAUGAGGUUAAUAGGUUCGAGGUGGAAGCAUGGUGACAUGUGGAGCUGACGAAUACUAAUCGAUCGAAGACUUAAUCAA
rnacentral:rRNA from 1 species